rnacentral:rRNA from 2 species
CCGGGUGACGGAGCCUACAGAUGGGGUCGAACGAGCGUCCGGUGAAUGACGUGCUUGCACUGAUUUCAACAAUGAAGCGAGUGGCGAACUGGGGAGUAGCAGGUGGGGAAUCUGCCCAGAAGCAGGGGAUAACACUUGGAAACAGGUGCUAAUACCGUAUAACAACAAAGUCCGCAUGGAUUUUGGUUGAAAGGUGGCUUCGGCUAUCACUUCUGGAUGAUCCCGCGGCGUAUUAGUUAGUUGGUGAGGUAAAGGCCCACCAAGACGAUGAUACGUAGCCGACCUGAGAGGGUAAUCGGCCACAUUGGGACUGAGACACGGCCCAAACUCCUACGGGAGGCAGCAGUAGGGAAUCUUCCACAAUGGACGAAAGUCUGAUGGAGCAAUGCCGCGUGAGUGAAGAAGGGUUUCGGCUCGUAAAACUCUGUUGUUAAAGAAGAACACCUUUGAGAGUAACUGUUCAAGGGUUGACGGUAUUUAACCAGAAAGCCACGGCUAACUACGUGCCAGCAGCCGCGGUAAUACGUAGGUGGCAAGCGUUGUCCGGAUUUAUUGGGCGUAAAGCGAGCGCAGGCGGUUUUUUAAGUCUGAUGUGAAAGCCUUCGGCUUAACCGGAGAAGUGCAUCGGAAACUGGGAGACUUGAGUGCAGAAGAGGACAGUGGAACUCCAUGUGUAGCGGUGGAAUGCGUAGAUAUAUGGAAGAACACCAGUGGCGAAGGCGGCUGUCUAGUCUGUAACUGACGCUGAGGCUCGAAAGCAUGGGUAGCGAACAGGAUUAGAUACCCUGGUAGUCCAUGCCGUAAACGAUGAGUGCUAAGUGUUGGAGGGUUUCCGCCCUUCAGUGCUGCAGCUAACGCAUUAAGCACUCCGCCUGGGGAGUACGACCGCAAGGUUGAAACUCAAAGGAAUUGACGGGGGCCCGCACAAGCGGUGGGAGCAUG